CUGUUGGCUGUGAUAUAGUUGUAGUGGAAGACUGUUGGCUGUAAGGCUGUGAUAUAGGUGUAGUGGAAGACUGUUGGCUGUAAGGCUGUGAUAUAGGUGUGGUGGAAGACUGUUGGCUGUAAGGCUGUGAUAUAGGUGUAGUGGAAGACUGUUGGCUGUAAGACUGUGAUAUAGGUGUAGUGGAAGACUGUUGGCUGUAAGGCUGUGAUAUAGGUGUGGUGGAAGACUGUUGGCUGUAAGGCUGUGAUAUAGGUGUAGUGGAAGACUGUUGGCUGUAAGACUGUGAUAUAGGUGUAGUGGAAGACUGUUGGCUGUAAGGCUGUGAUAUAGGUGUAGUGGAAGACUGUUGGCUGUAAGGCUGUGAUAUAGGUGUAGUGGAAGACUGUUGGCUGUAAGGCUGUGAUAUAGGUGUAGUGGAAGACUGUUGGCUGUAAGGCUGUGAUAUAGGUGUAGUGGAAGACUGUUGGCUGUAAGGCUGUGAUAUAGGUGUAGUGGAAGACUGUUGGCUGUAAGGCUGUGAUAUAGGUGUAGUGGAAGACUGUUGGCUGUAAGGCUGUGAUAUAGGUGUAGUGGAAGACUGUUGGCUGUGAUAUAAAUGUGGUGGAAGACUGUUGGCUGUGAUAUAGGUGUAGUGGAAGACUGUUGGCUGUAAGACUGUGAUAUAGGUGUAGUGGAAGACUGUUGGCUGUAAGGCUGUGAUAUAGGUGUAGUGGAAGACUGUUGGCUGUAAGGCUGUGAUAUAGGUGUAGUGGAAGACUGUUGGCUGUAAGGCUGUGAUAUAGGUGUAGUGGAAGACUGUUGGCUGUAAGGCUGUGAUAUAGGUGUAGUGGAAGACUGUUGGCUGUAAGGCUAUGAUAUAGGUGUAGUGGAAGACUGUUGGCUGUAAGGCUGUGAUAUAGGUGUAGUGGAAGACUGUUGGCUGUGAUAUAGGUGUGAUGGAAGACUGUUGGCUGUGAUAUAGGUGUAGUGGAAGACUGUUGGCUGUAAGGCUGUGAUAUAGGUGUAGUGGAAGACUUGGCUGUGAUAUAGGUGUGAUGGAAGACUGUUGGCUGUAAGGCUGUGAUAUAGGUGUAGUGGAAGACUGUUGGCUGUAAGGCUGUGAUAUAGGUGUAGUGGAAGACUGUUGGCUGUAAGGCUGUGAUAUAGGUGUAGUGGAAGACUGUUGGCUGUGAUAUAGGUGAAGUGGAAGAUUGUUGGCUGUAAGGCUGUGAUAUAGGUGUAGUGGAAGACUGUUGGCUGUAAGGCUGUGAUAUAGGUGUAGUGGAAGACUGUUGGCUGUAAGGCUGUGAUAUAGGUGUAAUGGAAGACUGUUGGCUGUAAGACUGUGAUAUAGGUGUAGUGGAAGACUGUUGGCUGUAAGGCUGUGAUAUAGGUGUAGUGGAAGACUGUUGGCUGUAAGGCUGUGAUAUAGGUGUAGUGGAAGACUGUUGGCUGUAAGGCUGUGAUAUAGUUGUAGUGGAAGACUGUUGGCUGUAAGGCUGUGAUAUAGGUGUAGUGGAAGACUGUUGGCUGUGAUAUAGGUGUGAUGGAAGACUGUUGGCUGUAAGGCUGUGAUAUAGGUGUAGUGGGAGACUGUUGGCUGUAAGGCUGUGAUAUAGGUGUAGUGGAAGACUGUUGGCUGUAAGGCUAUGAUAUAGGUGUAGUGGAAGACUGUUGGCUGUAAGGCUGUGAUAUAGGUGUAGUGGAAGACUUGGCUGUGAUAUAGGUGUAGUGGAAGACUGUUGGCUGUAAGGCUGUGAUAUAGGUGUAGUGGAAGACUUGGCUGUGAUAUAGGUGUGAUGGAAGACUGUUGGCUGUAAGGCUGUGAUAUAGGUGUAGUGGAAGACUGUUGGCUGUAAGGCUGUGAUAUAGGUGUAGUGGAAGACUGUUGGCUGUAAGGCUGUGAUAUAGGUGAAGUGGAAGACUGUUGGCUGUAAGGCUGUGAUAUAGGUGUAGUGGAAGACUGUUGGCUGUAAGGCUGUGAUAUAGGUGUAGUGGAAGACUGUUGGCUGUAAGGCUGUGAUAUAGGUGUAGUGGAAGACUGUUGGCUGUAAGGCUGUGAUAUAGGUGUAGUGGAAGACUGUUGGCUGUAAGGCUGUGAUAUAGGUGUAGUGGAAGACUGUUGGCUGUAAGGCUGUGAUAUAGUUGUAGUGGAAGACUGUUGGCUGUAAGGCUGUGAUAUAGGUGUAGUGGAAGACUGUUGGCUGUGAUAUAGGUGUGAUGGAAGACUGUUGGCUGUAAGGCUGUGAUAUAGGUGUAGUGGAAGACUGUUGGCUGUAAGGCUGUGAUAUAGGUGUAGUGGAAGACUGUUGGCUGUAAGGCUGUCAUAUAGGUGUAGUGGAAGACUGUUGGCUGUAAGGCUGUGAUAUAGGUGUAGUGGAAGACUGUUGGCUGUAAGGCUGUGAUAUAGGUGUAGUGGAAGACUGUUGGCUGUAAGGCUGUGAUAUAGGUGUAGUGGAAGACUGUUGGCUGUAAGGCUGUGAUAUAGGUGUAGUGGAAGACUGUUGGCUGUAAGGCUGUGAUAUAGGUGUAGUGGAAGACUGUUGGCUGUAAGGCUGUGAUAUAGGUGUAGUGGAAGACUGUUGGCUGUAAGGCUGUGAUAUAGGUGUAGUGGAAGACUGUUGGCUGUAAGGCUGUGAUAUAGGUGUAGUGGAAGACUGUUGGCUGUGAUAUAGGUGUGAUGGAAGACUGUUGGCUGUAAGGCUGUGAUAUAGGUGUAGUGGAAGACUGUUGGCUGUAAGGCUGUGAUAUAGGUGUAGUGGAAGACUGUUGGCUGUAAGGCUGUGAUAUAGGUGUAGUGGAAGACUGUUGGCUGUAAGGCUGUGAUAUAGGUGUAGUGGAAGACUGUUGGCUGUAAGGCUGUGAUAUUGGUGUAGUGGAAGACUGUUGGCUGUGAUAUAGGUGUGAUGGAAGACUGUUGGCUGUAAGGCUGUGAUAUAGGUGUGAUGGAAGACUGUUGGCUGUAAGGCUGUGAUAUAGGUGUAGUGGAAGACUGUUGGCUGUAAGGCUGUGAUAUAGGUGUAGUGGAAGACUGUUGGCUGUAAGGCUGUGAUAUAGGUGAAGAUAGAUCAACUAUUCUAAUACUCUUUUCUUUUCUUUACUUCUCGUAUUUAGAUGGCAGCGGGGGUUAUAUGGGUGUUAUGAGUCUCUAGUAUUUAGAUGGCAGCGGGGGUUAUAUGGGUGUUAUGAGUCUCUAGUAUUUAGAUGGCAGCGGGGGUUAUAUGGGUGUUAUGAGUCUAUAGUAUUUAGAUGGCAGCGGGGGUUAUAUGGGUGUUAUGAGUCUAUAGUAUUUAGAUGGCAGCGGGGGUUAUAUGGGUGUUAUGAGUCUAUAGUAUUUAGAUGGCAGCGGGGGUUAUAUGGGUGUUAUGAGUCUAUAGUAUUUAGAUGGCA